UAUUUAAACAAAUUUAACAUUCCAUUUGAACUCUUUCAUAAUCGAACAUUGUAUCGAUUGUCCAGUCAAGCUGCACAACGAAACGCGUUCCUUCAUGGCGUAAUAAUGUUCCCCAACCGGCGGCUCGAUACAUUUUUGGGACACGCACACAAAAAGGAAGUGCGCCAAAUGGUUGGGCCUUCUGCCCAACUACGCGCCUUCAUACUAAGGGGAGAAAUCAAGCACACCGAUGGCUCAGUUCUCGAAAUGGAUCUGUGCCUGCCGUUUACGUCGCUAGUGAGUUCGAUUAUGAACAAUUAUACCAGCCGAAAUGCGUUCCCAGAAAUGCACCGUUAGUAGUGCAUUGUCGGUAAGGCGAGGAAUGUUCCCUCUGCUAGGUAAGUUGUAUUACAGUAAAGCGAAGCGUCUCACACCUUCACACACACGUCGACCAAUUUCGAGUGAAAGAAGAACGGAAAUUGGAGAUAAUUGGUGUGCGCGAGUAACAAAAUCGCUUCGAUUUAAAAGAUACUCCUCCCAAUCUCAGAUGCAGUUCGAGAUUAGAUCGGAAAUUCACACCGAAGGGGGGGAGGAGGCUUGAUAAACGCAAGAGGCACGGAACGCAUAAAUCGCUCACACGUGCUGAGAAACCGGGCGAGAUCGUAGGCGAACGCAACCUCCAUUCCAACACCAGAUGAUGUAUCCGCAUCAGAUGGAGAAGAAAAAACAUACACACCGAGGCACAGCAUCUGAGCCGUGUGGAUCAGCCUUAUAUGCGACACCAACUUAUUAGCAAACACACACACGCUGGAAAGCCAUCCACUUGGCCCAUACCAAGGAAGCUAAACGAUCCGUGACCAUCUAUAAUCGUUGUCGUCCGUGCCGUCGUCCGCAUUGCAACAGUGCAGUCGCAUUGUAUCGAUGCACCGAUUUUAUGAGCUCACAUUUAUCGGCCAUCGAGGGGGGGGGCUACUAAUCGACCUCCGUACGUGGAACAAGUCGCGGUAAAGUCGUCGGAAGUUGAGCGCAGUAGGAGUAAAGAUCGCGAUAGUGCACUCUCGUCCCCGGCGAUGACGACGGUACACGGUUGCGAUAUUUAUGGUCGGUGGUACAGCACAUGCCAUCGUGUGCCAUCGGUUUCGUACAAAUCGUUCCCCAGUUUGCAUCGCAUUUGGACGCCGCGCAGGAAGGUUACCCAGUUUAUGGCUGCAAACCGUUCUCGCGAAUGCAAGCGAGAUGUUUAAUGAUCGCUACAGCCGGGUAAAGACACCGGAGAGAGGAGAUAGAAAAAGACCAUAGAACAACCGCUGGCCUGUAAAUCGUUCGCGCUACCCAAUCGGUGUGUGUGUGCGCGCCUUUUGGGCCUGUAUGUAUGCUUGUUAUGACAGUUUGCACAAUCGUGCCGUGUGGUGGUACGAACAAAACUAACAACGAAAAAACGCAUGAAUGGAAAGGGUUUGUUUCCAGCCGAGCAAAAGUGGGUUACAUCACUAGGGCAACAAGCACUGGCUGGUGCUGGGCCACAGUGCCAUUCUAAAACCCACGCUUUUCGACAGGCGGGAAAAAAA